UACGGGGGGAGCAAGCGUUGUUCGGAUUUACUGGGCGUAAAGGGCGCGUAGGCGGUCGUGACAAGUCACUUGUGAAAUCUCCGGGCUUAACCCGGAGCGGCCAAGUGAUACUGUUGUGCUAGAGUGCGGAAGGGGCUACUGGAAUUCUCGGUGUAGCGGUGAAAUGCGUAGAUAUCGGAAGGAACAUCAGUGGCGAAAAGCGGCUUCCUGGUCCAGCACCGACGUUCAGGCACGAAAGCGUGGGGAGCAAACAGG
rnacentral:rRNA from 1 species